CCUACGGGAGGCAGCAGUGAGGAAUAUUGGUCAAUGGGCGCAAGCCUGAACCAGCCAAGUCGCGUGAGGGAUUACGGUCCUAUGGGUCGUAAACCUCUUUUGUCGGGGAGCAAGGCCCGCCACGUGUGGCGGGCCGGAGAGUACCCGAAGAAAAAGCAUCGGCUAACUCCGUGCCAGCAGCCGCGGUAAGACGGAGGAUGCGAGCGUUAUCCGGAUUUAUUGGGUUUAAAGGGUGCGUAGGCGGACGUUUAAGUCAGCGGUCAAAUUUCGGUGCUCAACACCGGCCUGCCGUUGAAACUGGGCGCCUUGAGUGAGCGAGAAGUAGGCGGAAUGCGUGGGGUAGCAGUGAAAUGCAUAGAUAUCACGCAGAACUCCGAUUGCGAAGGCAGCAUACCGGCGCUCUACUGACGCUGAGGCACGAAAGCGUGGGGAUCGAACAGGAUUAGAUACCCCUGUAGUC
rnacentral:rRNA from 1 species